rnacentral:lncRNA from 1 species
AGGCUCGGGGUCUUACGUGGUUUAUUCCUGCAGAUGAUCCUACCUUGAUCUCCAAGCAGCAGUUAUUUGCAAGAAUUGUUGGCGGGCUUGGUGGUAGAGCUGCAGAGGAAGUGAUCUUUGGUGAGCCUGAGGUGACAACAGGUGCAGCUGGUGAUUUGCAGCAGAUCACUGGUUUGGCCAAACAGGUAAUUGAACAUAUUCAUUAUCUUCUCAUAGAAAUUUAAACCGUCAGAUGACACAGAUUACUGUGAUCCUUGGUGUUAUUAAAUGUGACAUGACAUGAAACUAUUAGCUCUGUCAUACUGAGAAACUUAAUUGGCAUUGUUGCAGAUGGUUACCACCUUCGGAAUGUCUGAUAUUGGACCGUGGUCAUUGAUGGACGCGUCUCAGAGCGGUGAUGUCAUUAUGAGAAUGAUGGCAAGGAACUCAAUGUCAGAAAAGCUUGCUGAAGACAUUGAUUCAGCUAUUAAGAGAUUAUCGGAUGAAGCAUAUGAGAUUGCGUUGACUCACAUAAGAAACAACCGCGAAGC